UGGCAUGGUGAAAGAAAGCAGCCCAUUGUUUGUUCACAUUUGUCCCUUUCCAGCUGGUCAUUGUGACACUAGCUGAUGCUGGGCUUGCCUACACAAGUGCUUUUAACAGUUUGACCCAGACUCUGUCUACACAGCUCUAAAACCGUCCAGCGAGCUUGUCCAGAGUCAAAGAAUCAACUAUCUGCCUCACUAGUAAUUCUGUCCUCAGGACGGUUUUAUGGGGAUCCCACUGGAAAUGAUGGCAGACAUUUUGGGGCAAGAUAGGACUUUGGGGUUGCUCCACCACUUCUGCUUGGUGUAGUGGAAAGAGCGCUGGACCCAGGCAGACGUAAGUUCAAAUCCCGGCAAUGACCACCCACCAGCUGUCCAACCACAGACGAUGUGCUCCCAUUCUUCCAGUGUCCUUUUUUUGUACCUGUAAGAUGGGGAAUCAUUUCUACUACCCGUAAGAUGAGGCCAUGAACAACAAGGAAAGACUGAAAAAGUGACACAGACCAGCAGCUAUGGAGACUUGAUGAUCAAACGUUAUGUGGAUCGUGGACGGGAUUCUGGAACAGAAAAAGAAAGGGUAUUACUGAAAUCUAAAUAAAGUCUGGAGGUGUAAAAUGAAGGAGCUGCCUUUCUUAAGCAUCUCUCUUCCCCAGGCUAGUAUUCCAGGCUCUACGUGUGCAACAGUCACCCCUAAAAGGUGUGCCCACCUUCAUUCCUUUUUUCCAUCCCUUCCCCAACCACCGCCGGCUCCUCGGGUCAGACGGCUCAACUGGAGGCUACAGAAUAUUCAGGAAGGGGCCAGCCUUGGCUUUGCAUUUUCAGGCUUCCUCACACGACAGCUCAAAUCAGACCCCCUACCCCAGCCCCCUUACCGGCAGGAGGGGAAAUAUGAAAUCUCAGCAGGCAAGGAGGUUUUUUAUGCUUCUGUAAAUCAUUAAAGUGGCCAAUAUUUCCCUUUGCUGCACUUCUCCCACCUCACAAUAUUUUUUUUUCCUGCAGUGAAAUCCAUUCGCCCAGCCUGGAAAUGUGGUCACUUUAUAGAAAAUCUUUAGCUUGUACCAGCACAAAUGGAUGGGUCUUAUUUCCUGUCUACAGUUCAUGGUGUUGCAAAGGCAUUGCCAAAAACUAUUGACUGAGACAUAAAAGCAAGAAAUGGAUGGAAAUGAACGUGGGCACGUUCGCGUGUACAUUUACAAACACACAGAGCCGAACAUGAUCAAGUCUACACUUAAAGGAAGAGAUUCCCUGAAGGGACGUCCUAAUUCAUAACUCAGCCCCCUACCCUGCCCAUGUUCAGAAUCUAUCUCACGCUCUGGAGGAGGGAGAAGAGGGUAGGACCAGGCAAUGUGGUUUAGAUACUGGGGAAGGAACUCCGUCCCCAGUAAGUCUC